rnacentral:rRNA from 1 species
GUCGAACGGUAACAGGAAGAAGCUUGCUGCUUYGCUGACGAGUGGCGGACGGGUGAGUAAUGUCUGGGAAACUGCCUGAUGGAGGGGGAUAACUACUGGAAACGGUAGCUAAUACCGCAUAACGUCGCAAGACCAAAGAGGGGGACCUUCGGGCCUCUUGCCAUCGGAUGUGCCCAGAUGGGAUUAGCUAGUAGGUGGGGUAACGGCUCACCUAGGCGACGAUCCCUAGCUGGUCUGAGAGGAUGACCAGCCACACUGGAACUGAGACACGGUCCAGACUCCUACGGGAGGCAGCAGUGGGGAAUAUUGCACAAUGGGCGCAAGCCUGAUGCAGCCAUGCCGCGUGUAUGAAGAAGGCCUUCGGGUUGUAAAGUACUUUCAGCGGGGAGGAAGGGAGUAAAGUUAAUACCUUUGCUCAUUGACGUUACCCGCAGAAGAAGCACCGGCUAACUCCGUGCCAGCAGCCGCGGUAAUACGGAGGGUGCAAGCGUUAAUCGGAAUUACUGGGCGU